CCCCCGCCGCCGCCGCCGCCCCCGCCGCCGCUUUAUUAGAGCCCGGUCCCGGUCCCGAGCCGCUGCGCGGCCACGGCCGCCAUCCCUCUGCCCUGGCACGCCGCUUCCGCCGCCACCGGGUCCAUACACGGCAGCACAACGGGCGAAAACUGCAGCGCCUCGCAUGUAUCCUUCCGUGGUAUUGAUUUUAACGGUUAUUGUUUGGAGAAAAGGUGCGCUGCCCCACAGACAACACCACUGUCUUGGCCAACUGCCUGCGCCACUCUGAUCCCAAGGACUUGACUCUGUCCUACCACCUGCAGCUCACCCACCUGCCCAUCACCUUCCUGUGGGCAGAUGCACAUUGCACCUGAUGCACACUGCCCACCAUGCAAUGGCAGCAGUGGCUGAGGGAUUAUCCAAUGGCACUGCCUUGGCCUCAAAGCAACUGGCUCAACAAACUCCCAAGAGCGAGCCCAGAAUCCAAACCAGCUGGAAACACACCAGAACAUGGGAGAAGCUGCAUUCCCAAAUCUCUCUGUGUGUGGGAGUGCACUCUUUCCAGGUUGGUGGCCAUGUGGGAAAUAAAAGAAGUGCCUGAGGAGAUGCUGGGAGAAGAAGCAGUCCAGUGCUCCUGGAGUCCCUAAGGCAGGUUCUGCCCUUCUGCUUGUCCAGAGGGAGUGAAAAUACUGAGCCAUGCCUUCAGCACUGAGCCGUGCUGGUCAUCUUGGAAAUAAAGCCAGCAGGAAAAUACACUUUCUGGCAGUGAAUAAUUCCCUUCCUGGGGUGUAGUGUUUGUUGUCCUCAUUACCUGAUGCACUUCUCAGGUCUGUUUUGACUUCCCCAGCUAGCAGGUAACAAGGACUGAAGGCAGCUGGCAGAGGGGCAGAGCUUCAGGUGCACAGAAGUUGGCCACUGCCAGCUGCAUUGCUCCCACCACAAAGAAAACCCCCAAAAUUAAAGAGCUACAGCUGAAUUGUUCCCACCAAAAGAAAGCCCUAAAAAAUUCAAGAGCUACUGGUGUUUUCUAGAUCUUGUGCAUUCCCCAGUGUGUUCUGAGCACACCUGAAGGCCAAGCUUUCUUUUUUAAAAGGAGUUAAGACCUCCUCUCCUCCACUGAGGAGGCCCUUUGGGCUGUUACAGUUGCUUUUAAAGCUGUUACUUGUAACAACAGUGGUAAACCCAACAAAUUAUAAUUGCAAGUGCAACAGUUUCAAAUCACAGGUUCAAAGGAAUGAGGUUUUCUCAAAAUUGAGCCCUGGCCCCUCAGCCAAAACGCCAAUUUGUCAAAAUAAAGUUCAACCCCCAGAGUGAACAGAAAGUAUGAACUCCCCCACAGUCAGGCCCAUCCCUCUUUCUCCAGGAAGGUGCUGGCAUUUUGAGGAAGGAGGACAGGACAAGCCCUGCCUUGGGGCAGAGACGUUUGAGCAUCAGUAUUUUAUUGCAAAGACUAAUUACAUUGCUGUGUACAAGUCACACCGGGCAGUGUGCUCCUUCAUUGAAGUGGUACAAAAUACACAGGGUACAGCCAGUCCCCCCGGUGGCACCAGCGGGAGGGGAGGGGACAGUCCCAGGGUGGGCAGGCACGGAGCAGAGGGAACACCCUCCCAGGGGUGCUGGUGCCCAGGGGCAGGGGCUUUGGGCAGGGGGGAGGCAGGAGGCUGCCCCUGCGUCAGGGAGCCAGGAGCUCCCAUCAUCUGCAUCAUGGGCAGCGCUGCCUGAGGGGCCGCGGGGCUGGAGGAGCUCUGUGCCAGCCACUCUCACACCCAAGCAGCCUCUUCCUCACCAGCCCCAGCCCCUGGAGUGUGGUCCCUGUCCUGGAGCAGGGAAAGGCACCACAACCACCUGGGAAUACUGACGGAUGGGAAACAGAAAAGAUCUGCUGGAAUGACGCGCUUAAAAAACAGAGAUGGAGGCAGGAGCAACAAAAGGUCCCCCUUUGGUUAGUGUUUCCUACAAUGAUUAAAAGAAGCAUCUCUGCCCCUGCUCAAGCAAUUAGUGGUAGAGAAUUUGGGAGGGGGGGGCUGGCAGGGUCUGCACCCCAUGAGCACAGCAGAGCAAUGCUGCUGCUGCUGCUGCUGCCAGCAUCCCUCCCAGCAGCCUUAAAUACCAGGGGGGCACAGGACAGGGACUGGGCUGCAGGGCAGGGGGAGGCUGGAUUAGUAAAAUGUACAAGUUUACCUCUUCUAUUUACAACCAAUAAAUACUGAAAAAAAAAAUCAGUAAACUUUUUUGUUUUAUACAAAAAAAAAAAAA